rnacentral:lncRNA from 1 species
UGUGUUCCUUGCACGGACGCGGGACCCCAUGCCACUAGGUGCUCCUUGCACACUCGCCCUUCCCUUGCACGCUCGCCCUUUGCACACCCCCACUGCACACCUUUCAUUUGCACGCUCACUCUGUGCACACUGACACACCCCUCCCUCGCACGCUCACUCUUCCCUUGCACACCUGCCUUUUGCACACCCCCACUGCACUUUUCAUUUGCACACUCGCUCUUUGCACACUCCCAACGCACACCUCCCUUGCACACCCUUCCAUUGCACACUCACCCUUUGCACACCCCCAAUACACCCCUCCCUUGCACACCCUUCCCUUGCACACGUGCACACUCCCCCUUUGCACACCCCUCAGGGAUACUCACACUUCUCACACUCACCCCUCCCACACCCCACCCUCUCACACACUCACUUUGCACCCACCCCGCAUGCUCCUUCUUGCACAUCCACCUGUGUGCACCCCCUCUUUGCACACUCACCCCUUGUACACUCACCUCCCUUGCAAGCCCCCCUUUAGCACUCCCCAUGCACCCCCCCUUGCACACUCACCCUUUGAA